rnacentral:lncRNA from 1 species
ACCUGACAAUGGUCAUUGACAAAUGUUAAGAGAAAAAUCCCUGACAAGUCCAACCAGCCAUGAAAGUGGUUGCUGUCGAGGGCAAACUGGCUAGUCCUGCCCACAGAGCACUUUGUGUGGCCGGAGGACUUCGUGGUUUGCGCCAGACCUGUAAAAACAGAACCUGUUUGUGGACGCCUACCUCAAUCUGCGGCCACUUAGGGGAGGCCGCGUCGUUGGCCAAAGCCAUCGGUGGAGCUGGGAUCCGGGAUUUUUCAAGUUUUGUUAUUACUGGUCAAGUUUUCUGUCGGUAUGAGCAACUAUCAACUACCAAGAUUAUGGAACAACAGCAAUAAAGAGCAACAUCACGUGCUUAUUUGCUGCUCUGGAAGUUAAGAAAUUAAAAAAUAUAAGUAUCAUUUACUCAUGAAACAGAGAAAGAAAAAAAUAAAAUUGACCCUGCAUAUAGUAAUAUUCCUUGUAACCCAACAUGCCAAUGUGCCAGAAAGAGCCAGAGCCUUAUACAAUAUCUGAAGCUUUCUGAAGGUAUGUGGAAGGAGGAGGUAAAGGUUCUUUCUCACUUAGACUGGACAGUUCAUGCUCCACAGUUUGAACUUGCCUUAAGGAUAAACCAAGAGCCUGCACCUGGAACAGGGCAUGUUUAUCUUUAAAACAUGGCACAAAAAUAAGCAUUUGUUGGUGACACAGAAACACUGCCUCCAAAUCAACAUUCUCUCAACUCACAGAUACUAUCAAAGGAGAAAAACUCCAGAACCCCAAGAGAAACCCGUCCCCCUCCUCUUAAUCUCCACGAGAUCAUUGUUUCCUAUUUCCAUGGUAACCAGAAGACUCAAAAUUGCCAAAACUUGAGAGACACUUCAGACGAAAGCCAGAAAAAAAAAAAAAUUAACAAGAGACAAAUGUUGCAGACAGCAUGUAUGACAGUGUGCAAGUUUUUGAAAUUUGGGAAGAUUUUAUUUCUUUGCUCGGAAUAAUACAAGGGUGUCCAGAAAGUAGCAGUGUAGUUUCUUGCCGUGCUGCUACAUGUUCAUUGGUUCAUUGAGUAGAUUUUAUUCUUUUCUUGAAAGGAAAGGAGAGACCUGGGGGCCUUGACAGCAAUUAAGUGAAGGUAAGCUGUGAGGAAUUGGUCUCCUGGCAAGCCUUCAUGUUAACCAUGAUGAGGAGGCCUCGUUCCCUUCCUCCACGGAGUGAACCCAUAUUUAUGGGGCAUCUCUUAUUUUCUAGGUAAUCUAUUCUACACACAACUAAGUGAAAGGCUUGCAACGGUGAUGAGGGCUCCUAGGAGAAGUGCG